GGGUUGUGAGGUUAAGCGACUAAGCGUACACGGUGGAUGCCCUGGCAGUCAGAGGCGAUGAAGGACGUGCUAAUCUGCGAUAAGCGCCGGUAAGGUGAUAUGAACCGUUAUAACCGGCGAUUUCCGAAUGGGGAAACCCAGUGUGACUCGUCACACUAUCAUUAACUGAAUCCAUAGGUUAAUGAGGCGAACCGGGGGAACUGAAACAUCUAAGUACCCCGAGGAAAAGAAAUCAACCGAGAUUCCCCCAGUAGCGGCGAGCGAACGGGGAGGAGCCCAGAGCCUGAAUCAGCAUGUGUGUUAGUGGAAGCGUCUGGAAAGGCGCGCGAUACAGGGUGACAGCCCCGUACACAAAAGCGCAUGUGUUGUGAGCUCGAUGAGUAGGGCGGGACACGUGGUAUCCUGUCUGAAUAUGGGGGGACCAUCCUCCAAGGCUAAAUACUCCUGACUGACCGAUAGUGAACCAGUACCGUGAGGGAAAGGCGAAAAGAACCCCGGCGAGGGGAGUGAAAAAGAACCUGAAACCGUGUACGUACAAGCAGUGGGAGCCCCACCACUAAGCCAGUGGUGAACUCCACAUACGCAUCCUUUGCUGAAGGUGCGGUUAACGGAGCGCAAGCGACGUUCAACCUCAAAAGAAGCAGAGGGGGCUUAGUGGUGGGGUGACUGCGUACCUUUUGUAUAAUGGGUCAGCGACUUAUAUUCUGUAGCAAGGUUAACCG
rnacentral:rRNA from 5 species